AUAAAAUAUUUGAUGUAUACUUGUAUUUUGCUAAUAAACUGAUACUUAGUUGUCUAGAAAUUAGGGUAGCUCAGUAUGUGAUUAUGAAUGUUUAAAUUGAAAAAGAGUUGUAAAAGGAAAUGUCUCGCCCAUAGACGAUAACUGAGAGAAACCUUGAGUGUUUCUGAAUGUAGCCUAGAAAUCAUAUGGAGUUUGUGUUUGAGAGAAAUUGACCGCUUCAUUUACAAGAGGCGGAAGUAGAUUUAAUUGGCUGGUAAGCUAUUUGAAUAUUAAGUUAUCCUAGAAUAUUUAGUUCACGUGGCCUAAGAACUUAGAAUACUGGUAAAAUUCUCGAGAAAUUGGAAUAGUUUAAAUCAGUAUCUGCAUGAUGUGUUUGUGCUUUAAUGAGUGAUAACUAAUUGAAUUGUUAUUCUUAGUGCUUCAGUAACUUGCCUGAUUUUCAGAAUUGUAACUUUACAGCUGUUUGUUAGAACUGCCACAGGUGCUCCCUUAAUUCCACUGAUGAACACCUUUGCUUAGAAAUGCAUUAAAGGCUUCAUAGUUCCAUGCUGGAACCAAAGUCACCUGCCCAGCACAGUACAGAACUACGUGACGCUGAGUUCCUGGCCCACCUUCAGCCAUGAAGAUCAUUUAUCUGCUCUUUGCUGUUUUCUUUCUGGUGCUACAAGGUGUGCCAGAAUUCUCCAAGGCUCAGAUUCUCACUGUGAGAUGUAAAAUGCAAGGGGGUCAUUGUUUCUUUGGGAGAUGUCCUCCUAACCGGAGACGCAUUGGAAGAUGCUCUCCAAAUGGGUACUUUUGCUGUCAAACGCGACUUAUUUACUGAUUGUCUAAGCAGGAUCUCCGGGAAUGUGGGAGACAGCCACUUGCUUCUAAAAUCAUCAGAUCUUGCUUCAAUGGAACCCUGAAGUGUAAAGAACCAAGUGAACUGGAGAAAUUCCAGAAGGGAGCUUUGUAUCACCAUAUAAGUUUUGUUCCUCUCCUUUUAAUAAAAGCAAGUUGGU